UACGGGGGGGGCAAGCGUUGUUCGGAAUUACUGGGCGUAAAGCGCACGUAGGCGGCUUGUUAAGUCGGGGGUGAAAUCCUGGAGCUCAACUCCAGAACUGCCUUCGAUACUGAAGAGCUCGAGUCCGGGAGAGGUGAGUGGAACUGCGAGUGUAGAGGUGAAAUUCGUAGAUAUUCGCAAGAACACCAGUGGCGAAGGCGGCUCACUGGCCCGGUACUGACGCUGAGGUGCGAAAGCGUGGGGAGCAAACAGG
rnacentral:rRNA from 1 species